rnacentral:rRNA from 1 species
GACGAACGCUGGCGGCGUGCUUAACACAUGCAAGUCGAACGGAAAGGCCCUGCUUUUGUGGGGUGCUCGAGUGGCGAACGGGUGAGUAACACGUGAGUAACCUGCCCUUGACUUUGGGAUAACUUCAGGAAACUGGGGCUAAUACCGGAUAGGAGCUCCUGCUGCAUGGUGGGGGUUGGAAAGUUUCGGCGGUUGGGGAUGGACUCGCGGCUUAUCAGCUUGUUGGUUGGGUAGUGGAUUACCAAGGCUUUGACGGGUAGCCGGCCUGAGAGGGUGACCGGCCACAUUGGGCCUGAGGUACGGCGCAGUCUGCUACGGGAGGCAGCAGUGGGGAGUAUUGCACAAUAGGCGGAAGCGUGAUGCAGAAGCGCCGCGUGCGGGAUGACGGCCUUCGGGUUGUAAACCGCUUUCGCCUGUGACGAAGCGUGAGUGACGGUAAUGGGUAAAGAAGCACCGGCUAACUACGUG